UCAGAUUGUAGCUUAUAUGUAAAGCUUAUUUUUUACAUUAAUAUGAAGAUAUUUUUAUUCUAUCUG
rnacentral:tRNA from 1 species